rnacentral:tRNA from 1 species
GACCAGGUAGCUCAAUUGGUAGAGCGUCCGUCUAGAGUUCGGAAAGUCCCGGGUUCGAACCCCGGUCUGGCCG